rnacentral:rRNA from 1 species
UACCAGCACCCCGAGUGGUCCGGUCGUUUAUUGGGCCUAAAGCAUCCGUAGCCGGUUCUACAAGUCUUCCGUUAAAUCCAGCUGCUUAACAGAUGGGCUGCGGAAGAUACUAUGGAGCUAGGAGGCGGGAGAGGCAAGCGGUACUCGAUGGGUAGGGGUAAAAUCCGUUGAUCCAUUGAAGACCACCAGUGGCGAAGGCGGCUUGCCAGAACGCGCUCGACGGUGAGGGAUGAAAGCUGGGGGAGCAAACCGG